rnacentral:snoRNA from 1 species
AAACCGUAGUGUGGACAACAUCUCAACAAGUCCUUGUACUUUUCCCAUGCAUCAUAUAUGCUUUCAUCAUCAAACUACACAAAAGAGGAAAUAUCAUUCUACAUCU